AGAGUUUGAUCCUGGCUCAGGACGAACGCUGGCGGCGCGCCUAACACAUGCAAGUCGAGCGAUGAACAUUCAUUGAUCCCUUCGGGGUGAUUUGAUUGGGAUUAGCGGCGAACGGGUGAGUAACGCGUGAGGAACCUGCCUCUUACAACGGGAUAGCCUCGGGAAACCGGGAUUAAUACCGUAUAAGACUCCGACAUCUCCUGAUGAUGAAGUCAAAGCGUUAGCGGUAAGAGAUGGCCUCGCGUCUGAUUAGCUUGUUGGCGGGGUAACGGCCCACCAAGGCGACGAUCAGUAACCGGCCUGAGAGGGUGAACGGCCACAUUGGAACUGAGACACGGUCCAAACUCCUACGGGAGGCAGCAGUGGGGAAUCUUGCACAAUGGGGGAAACCCUGAUGCAGCGACGCCGCGUGAGCGAUGAAGGUUUUCGAAUCGUAAAGCUCUGUCCUAUGGGAAGAUAAUGACGGUACCAUGGGAGGAAGCCCCGGCUAACUACGUGCCAGCAGCCGCGGUAAUACGUAGGGGGCGAGCGUUGUCCGGAAUUACUGGGCGUAAAGGGUUCGCAGGCGGCAUGGCAAGUCCGAUGUAAAAGGCGAAGGCUCAACCUUCGUAAGCAUCGGAAACUGUCAAGCUUGAGUGAAGGAGAGGCAAGUGGAAUUCCUAGUGUAGCGGUGGAAUGCGUAGAUAUUAGGAGGAAUACCGGUGGCGAAGGCGACUUGCUGGACUUCAACUGACGCUGAGGAACGAAAGCGUGGGUAGCAAACAGGAUUAGAUACCCUGGUAGUCCACGCUGUAAACGAUGAGUGUUAGGUUCUUGGAAUAAUCUGGGAGCCGCAGCUAACGCAUUAAACACUCCGCCUGGGGAGUACGCACGCAAGUGUGAAACUCAAAGGAAUUGACGGGGACCCGCACAAGCAGCGGAGCAUGUGGUUUAAUUCGAAGCAACGCGAAGAACCUUACCAGGACUUGACAUCCCUCUGACAGGAACUUAAUCGUUUUUUUCUACGGACAGAGGAGACAGGUGGUGCAUGGUUGUCGUCAGCUCGUGUCGUGAGAUGUUGGGUUAAGUCCCGCAACGAGCGCAACCCUUAUCUUUAGUUGCCAGCAUAUCGGAUGGGAACUCUAAAGAGACUGCCGAUGAUAAAUCGGAGGAAGGUGGGGAUGACGUCAAAUCAUCAUGCCCUAUAUGCCCUGGGCUACACACGUGCUACAAUGGAAGGUACAAAGGGAAGCAAGAUAGUGAUAUUAAGCAAACCUCAAAAAGCCUUUCUCAGUUCGGAUUGUACUCUGCAACUCGAGUACAUGAAGAUGGAGUUGCUAGUAAUCGCAGAUCAGAAUGCUGCGGUGAAUGCGUUCCCGGGUCUUGUACACACCGCCCGUCACACCAUGGGAGCUUGUAAUACCCGAAGCCUGUGAGCAAACCGUAAGGUAGCAGCAGUCGAAGGUAGGAUAAGUGACUGGGGUGAAGUCGUAACAAGGUAGCCGUAUCGGAAGGUGCGGCUG
rnacentral:rRNA from 1 species